AAGCACUACGGUGUGGAGACUGCGGACUCAGCGGCGGACGGGUGAGGAACGCGUGGGUAACCUGCCCUAUACAGGGGGAUACCGUGUAGAAAUGCACGCUAAAACCGCAUAAGCUACCGAAGUCGCAUGACAUUGGUGGAAAAACUGAGGUGGUAUAGGAUGGGCCCGCGUCUGAUUAGCUAGUUGGAGAGGUAAAGGCUCCCCAAGGCGACGAUCAGUAGCCGGUCUGAGAGGAUGGACGGCCACAUUGGGACUGAGACACGGCCCAAACUCC
rnacentral:rRNA from 1 species